AAUUAACCAAUAUGCCUAAUUGUAUAAUUACAGUUAUGUUUGGAAAUGCAAGAAAAAGGCAUGCAUUCCUGAAAAGUCAAUGAUUGGUUGCACCUCUUAAAGAUAACUUUUUGUUAUGAGAAAAGAUGAGAUUCUUGGACUCCUGCAUAGCACCACCAGAAAGGAAAAUCCCAUCAUGUUGCAAAAUAAAAGUCUUGGACCAAUUUUAAUUUAAGAUAUAUAUAUUAUACUGUUAGCUGUAUACAUAUUUAUGUAUAUUCUAUCAUUCAGCCAACAGGUUUGGAUUUAGUAUUUCUUUAAAUCUGUUUGAUAUUGUACUUGAAAACUAUAAAUCUGAGCCCCAUUAAAACAAGAGGGAGUGCAGUGGAUGAGUGGUAAGGAAAAUUUUACUUUUUUAAAAUUAAAAUAAGAAUCUAACAAAAGUAAACAUAUAAAAUAUGGUGCAUUCUCCUUAAAACUAAAACCUGGUGCAAAGGUUUAAAAUGUUGGCAAAAAAAAGCAACAUCAAUUAAAUAUUCUUAAUUCCCUUUGCAAAACUUACUGAGAAGAACAUGCAUGUUGUUCCCUCAUAAGUUUCUUGACAGAGGAAAUCUUCUUUAUAUUAGAUUUGAAUUAAGCAAAUUAAGAAAAAAAUUAUAAUCAUUAUUUCAAAUGGUUGUAUCUAAACCUUAUGAAUUAUUUUUCAGUUAUAAGUAUAUUGAAAUGAAUGAAUAAUCAUGAAAUUGUUAAUAAUUGCUGCUAUCAUUCCAUUGACUAAAGAACCAUAAUUUUUUUUUUAAAUUAAUUUCAAAAUUAAUUAAUUAAUUAAUUUUCAAGCAGAGUUCACAUAGAUCUUGAGUGAAAUUUUUCUUUUUUUGACUAAUGCUUCAAUUUUAUUGUAUCAUUAGUUUUUUAUUUUUAUUACCCAGAAUAUUUUAAAAAUGAGUACACUAUUUUCAUGUAAUAAUGUAACUUGGUAUUCACACAUCAAAAUACGCUAUAAUCUUUAGGCCAUAUAGAUUUGUAUAAAUAUAAAUGAACUUGCUUAAAUACAUUGUAAAUGUAUAUUGUUUGGAUAAGAAUAAAGUUUUUCUGUAGACAA